UGCAGUCGUACGAGAGUUUUUACUCAAGUGGCGGACGGGUGAGUAACACGUAAGAAUUUGCCUUUAGGAGGGGGACAACAACUGGAAACGGUUGCUAAUACCCCAUAUGCUUUCGAGUGAAAUGGAUUUUUCCGCCUAGAGAGAAGCUUGCGGCUGAUUAGCUUGUUGGUGAGGUAAGGGCUCACCAAGGCGACGAUCAGUAUCUGGUUUGAGAGGACGAUCAGACACACUGGAACUGAGACACGGUCCAGACUCCUACGGGAGGCAGCAGUGGGGAAUAUUGGACAAUGGGCGAAAGCCUGAUCCAGCAAUGCCGCGUGUGUGAAGAAGGCCUGCGGGUUGUAAAGCACUUUCAGUUGGGAAGAUUAUGACGUUACCAACAGAAGAAGCACCGGCUAACUCCGUGCCAGCAGCCGCGGUAAUACG
rnacentral:rRNA from 1 species